GACGAACGCUGGCGGCGUGCCUAAUACAUGCAAGUCGAGCGAAGUUUUUCUGGUGCUUGCACUAGAAAAACUUAGCGGCGAACGGGUGAGUAACACGUAAAGAACCUGCCUCAUAGACUGGGACAACUAUUGGAAACGAUAGCUAAUACCGGAUAACAGUAUUUCUCGCAUGAGAGAUAUUUAAAAGUUGGUUAUGCUAACACUAUGAGGUGGCUUUGCGGUGCAUUAGCUAGUUGGUGGGGUAAAGGCCCACCAAGGCGACGAUGCAUAGCCGACCUGAGAGGGUGAUCGGCCACACUGGAACUGAGACACGGCCCAGACUCCUACGGGAGGCAGCAGUAGGGAAUCUUCCGCAAUGGGCGAAAGCCUGACGGAGCAACGCCGCGUGAGUGAAGAAGGAUUUCGGUUCGUAAAGCUCUGUUGUUAGGGAAGAAUGGAUAUGUAGUAACUAUACAUGUAAGAGACGGUACCUAACCAGAAAGCCACGGCUAACUACGUG
rnacentral:rRNA from 1 species